GUGUCAGCAGCCGCGGUAAAACGUAGGGGACGAGCGUUAUCCGGAUUUACUGGGCGUAAAGCGCCCGUAGGCGGCUCGAUAAGUUGGACGUGAAAGCUCCCGGCUUAACUGGGAGAGGCCGUUCAAAACUGUCGGGCUAGAGUGAGGCAGAGGAGCGCGGAAUUCCCGGUGUAGUGGUGGAAUGCGUAGAUAUCGGGAGGAACACCAGUGGCGAAAGCGGCGCUCUGGGCCUAAACUGACGCUGAGGGGCGAAAGCGUGGGGAGCGAACGGGAUUAGAAACCCUCGUAGUCC
rnacentral:rRNA from 1 species